CCGGGCUGCCACCACAACAGAUCCCAGAGUUUUCUGACCUUCUAGCUUUAGGUAUUUCUCACAUGUUGUUGUCCUUGUCAGGAAGACAACAAUAGACUGAUUAGGUAAAGACAGUAGCCCGGGCAUCAGGCUAACAGAUAUCAGUGUUCUCUGGGAGCCACACUGACCCAGGGGCAGUUUUAUAUUUCUGUCUAUUAUAGCAGUGGUGGGCUGAGGCUGUGUGAUGAAGUCUGGGUGGCUGGAUGUGGGCAGCAGGUGCUUAACCAGGUCUGGAGUAGAACGAUCAGAAUCACAAAGAUGGAGAGCAAGCAUCUUUCUCCAACGAGGUUCUUCGUGAUUCUGAUGACUUCACAAGAGGUGUUGCACAGUCCAGAGCAGCAGGUUUCCUGGGAUACUGUAAGGUAACAGGAAGAGGUGCUUCCACAGUGGCUGGUAUAAACAGGAUCCAUGGCUUCCAGCCAAGACUCUGCCUACUGUUAGAUUACCUCAUAUCACAGUAAAUACUUAUUUUCAGGUAAGGUGUGUUUGGUUUAUGUUACAAUUUUUUUUAGAAAAAGAAGCU